GUUGGGGGCACCGCUGAUCUGCCUGGCUCCCUGUAUGCCAUCUGCGUUGCUUAUCAAGAGCGGGAUAUGCCUCACAGUUGGCAUAGAGAGAGCCAAGCAGAACUGCUGUUUCUAGC
rnacentral:pre_miRNA from 1 species